rnacentral:rRNA from 1 species
UACGAGUGGUGCAAGCAUUAUUCGGAAUCAUUGGGCGUAAAGGGUGCGUAGGUGGUAUAUUAAGUCUACUGUUAAAAUAUCUCGGCCUAACCGAGAGUCUGCGGUGGAUACUGGUAAACUAGAGGAUGGGAGAGAGAAGUGGAAUUCUCGGAGUAGCGGUAAAAAUGCGUAGAUCUCGAGAGGAACACCGAUGGCGAAAGCAGCUUCUUGGACCAAUCCUGACACUGAUGCACGAAAGCGUGGGGGAGCAAACAGG